UACGUAGGUGGCAAGCGUUGUCCGGAAUUAUUGGGCGUAAAGAGCUCGUAGGCGGUGUGUCGCGUCGGCCGUGAAAACCUGCAGCUUAACUGUGGGCUUGCGGUCGAUACGGGCAUCACUGGAGUUCGGCAGGGGAGACUGAAAUUCCUGGUGUAGCGGUGAAAUGCGCAGAUAUCAGGAGGAACACCGGUGGCGAAGGCGGGUCUCUGGGCCGAUACUGACGCUGAGGAGCGAAAGCGUGGGGAGCGAACAGG
rnacentral:rRNA from 1 species